rnacentral:rRNA from 1 species
CUACGGGAGGCUCCAGUGGGGAAUAUUGCACAAUGGACGAAAGUCUGAUGCAGCAACGCCGCGUGGAGGAUGACACAUUUCGGUGCGUAAACUCCUUUUAUAUAGGAAGAUAAUGACGGUACUAUAUGAAUAAGCGCCGGCUAACUCCGUGCCAGCAGCCGCGGUAAUACGGAGGGCGCAAGCGUUACUCGGAAUCACUGGGCGUAAAGAGCGUGUAGGCGGAUAGAUAAGUCAGGAGUGAAAUCCUAUGGCUCAACCAUAGAACUGCUCUUGAAACUGUCUAUCUAGAAUAUGGGAGAGGUAGAUGGAAUUUCUGGUGUAGGGGUAAAAUCCGUAGAGAUCAGAAGGAAUACCGAUUGCGAAGGCGAUCUACUGGAACAUUAUUGACGCUGAGACGCGAAAGCGUGGGGAGCAAACAGGAUUAGAUACCCCAGUAGUC